ACGAACGCUGGCGGCGUGCUUAACACAUGCAAGUCGAACGGAAAGGCCUGCUUUCCCUUGUGGAUUGCGGGUACUCGAGUGGCGAACGGGUGAGUAACACGUGAGUGAUCUGCCCCCAACUUGGGUAUAAGCCUGGGAAACUGGGUCUAAUUCCCGAUAGGACUGCAGGGUGGUGCCUGUGGUGGAAAACGAUUUUCUAGUGGUUGGGGAUGAGCUCGCGGCCUAUCAGCUUGUUGGUGGGGUAAUGGCCUACCAAGGCGGCGACGGGUAGCCGGCCUGAGAGGGUGGACGGCCACAGUGGGACUGAGAUACGGCCCAGACGCCUACGGGAGGCAGCAGUGGGGAAUAUUGCACAAUGGGCGGAAGCCUGAUGCAGCGACGCCGCGUGGGGGAUGACGGCCUUCGGGUUGUAAACUCCUUUCGACCGCGAGGAAGCCACCUGGUUGGAAGGGUGGUGACGGUAGUGGUAGAAGAAGCACCGGCUAACUACGUG
rnacentral:rRNA from 1 species